CAACCAGGAGAUGACAUCUGUGACUGAAUAUCUAACUCUUGAUUGCACCCGUGGGGCUUCUGCUGGAUAUGGAAUUGUUUGCAAGAAAUAAUGGAAUAAUGGGUUUUAUUAGUUAAAAGAUUAGAAGCUUUUAUGGCUAUGGCUUCUGUCAAUAAUGUUAUGUAUUCGAAUACUAUAUAUAUACACAUAUAUAAUGUAACUUUUUAUAUUGUUUAUGUCUGCAUUGAUGGUUGUAUAAUGGGACACAGUAAUUGUAAUAAUAAACAUAAACCUCUGAUUCA
rnacentral:lncRNA from 1 species